rnacentral:rRNA from 1 species
CAGCAGCCGCGGUAAUACGUAGGUGGCAAGCGUUGUCCGGAAUUAUUGGGCGUAAAGGGCUCGCAGGCGGUUUCUUAAGUCUGAUGUGAAAGCCCCCGGCUCAACCGGGGAGGGUCAUUGGAAACUGGGAAACUUGAGUGCAGAAGAGGAGAGUGGAAUUCCACGUGUAGCGGUGAAAUGCGUAGAGAUGUGGAGGAACACCAGUGGCGAAGGCGAUUCUCUGGUCUGUAACUGACGCUGAGGAGCGAAAGCGUGGGGAGCGAACAGGAUUAGAUACCCGUGUAGUCCCUGUCUCUUAUAC